GACAGCUCAGUCAAUAGAACAUGAGACUCUUAAUUUCAAGAGUCAUGGGUUUGAGCCCCAUGAUGGGCA